AAAAAGACAAACUCUGAGUUUCCGUGUCCAACGUUUACUGUCCGUCUUAUAUGAAAUUUUUUUAUAAUUAGUAUUUUUAUUGUUGUUAGAUGAUAAAACAUGAUUAAUAUUUUAUGCGUGACUUGUCUUUUUAAUUUUUUUAUAAUUUUUUCAAAUAAGACGGACGGUUAAAAGUUGGACACGGAAACCCAGAGUUUCUCUUUUU
rfam:Oryza nivara chromosome 7, whole genome shotgun sequence.